rnacentral:lncRNA from 1 species
UUGUGCGACUCGGUACACUUGCCGAUUUGCCCCAACAAGUUUUUGGCACCGUUGUCGGGGACUCACUAUUUAAGCUAUUCUAUUUGUCUGAUUCUUGAUUAAUUUUGCUUUAUUUUAUUUUUAUUUUUAUUUUCAUUUUUCAAUCCCUAAUUUCUAUUUUUAUUUUUUUUAAAAAAAACCUAACAAUCUCUGAAUUAUUUUUUU